rnacentral:rRNA from 2 species
UGAGGUUAAGUUAACAAGGGCGCAUGGUGAAUGCCUUGGCACUAGGAGCCGAUGAAGGACGGGACUAACACCGAUAUGCUUCGGGGAGCUGUACGUAAGCUAUGAUCCGGAGAUUUCCGAAUGGGGCAACCCAGCAGUUUUAAUCAACUGUUACCACUAGAUGAAUUCAUAGUCUAGUUGGAGGUAAACGCUGUGAACUGAAACAUCUCAUUAGCAGCAGGAAUAUAAAGAAAUUUCGAUUCCCUAAGUAGCGGCGAGCGAACGGGGAACAGCCCAAACCAAAGUGCUUGCACUUUGGGGUUGUAGGACUGAACAUUUGAGUUACCAAAGAACUUGAUAGUCGAAGGAUUUGGGAAAAUCCGCCAUAGAUGGUGAUAGCCCAGUAGAUUAAAUCAAAUUCUCUCAGUUCAGGAUCCUGAGUACGGCGGAACACGUGAAAUUCCGUCGGAAUCCGGGAGGACCAUCUCCCAAGGCUAAAUACUACCUAGUGACCGAUAGUGAACCAGUACCGUGAGGGAAAGGUGAAAAGCACCCCGGGAGGGGAGUGAAAUAGUUCCUGAAACCAUGUGCCUACAAUAAGUCAGAGCGCGUUAAUGCGUGAUGGCGUGCCUUUUGUAGAAUGAACCGGCGAGUUAUGAUCCCGUGCAAGGUUAAGACUAAAAAGUCGGAGCCGUAGCGAAAGCGAGUCUGAAAUGGGCGUUUUGAGUACGAGGUUAUAGACCCGAAACCAGGUGACCUAUCCAUGUCCAGGUUGAAGGUGCGGUAAAACGCACUGGAGGACCGAACCCGUGUAAGUUGAAAAUUGCUGGGAUGAGGUGUGGAUAGCGGUGAAAUUCCAAACGAACUUGGAGAUAGCUGGUUCUCUCCGAAAUAGCUUUAGGGCUAGCCUCGGAAUUAGGAUCAUGGAGGUAGAGCACUAUUUGGACUAGGGGCCCGUCUUGGGUUACUGAAUUCAGAUAAACUCCGAAUGCCAUUGAUUCAUAUCCGGGAGUCAGACGAUGAGUGAUAAGAUCCACCGUCGAAAGGGGAACAGCCCAGACCAUCAGUUAAGGUCCCUAAAUGUAUGCUAAGUGGAAAAGGAUGUGGAGUUGCAUAGACAACUAGGAUGUUGGCUCAGAAGCAGCCACCAUUUAAAGAGUGCGUAAUAGCUCACUAGUCGAGUGAUCCUGCGCCGAAAAUGUACCGGGGCUAAGCAUACUACCGAAACCAUGGAUGCGACCAUUAGGUCGCGUGAUAGGAGAGCGUUCUAAGGGCGGUGAAGCAAGAUCGUGAGGACUUGUGGAGCGCUUAGAAGUGAGAAUGCCGGUAUGAGUAGCGAAAGAUAGGUGAGAAUCCUAUCCACCGAAUGACUAAGGUUUCCUGGGGAAGGCUCGUCCUCCCAGGGUUAGUCGGGACCUAAGUCGAGGCCGAGAGGCGUAGACGAUGGAUAACAGGUUGAGAUUCCUGUACUAGUUAAGUGCGUUUGAGCAAUGGAGGGACGCAGGAGGCUAAGAUGUGCAUUCUGUUGGAUUAGAAUGUCCAAGCAGUAAGUCUUGUGAAGAGUCAAAUGCUUUUCACUUUAAGGACAAGCUGUGAUGGGGAGCGAAAUUUAGUAGCGAAGCGUCUGAUGUCACACUGCCGAGAAAAGCUUCUAGUGAGUACUUAACUACCCGUACCGCAAACCGACACAGGUAGUCGAGGAGAGAAUCCUAAGGUGAGCGAGUGAACUCUCGUUAAGGAACUCGGCAAAAUGACCCCGUAACUUCGGGAGAAGGGGUGCUGAUCGCAAGAUCAGCCGCAGUGAAUAGGCCCAGGCGACUGUUUAUCAAAAACACAGGUCUCUGCAAAAUCGUAAGAUGACGUAUAGGGGCUGACGCCUGCCCGGUGCUGGAAGGUUAAAAGGAUGGGUUAGCUUCGGCGAAGCUCAGAAUUGAAGCCCCAGUAAACGGCGGCCGUAACUAUAACGGUCCUAAGGUAGCGAAAUUCCUUGUCGGGUAAGUUCCGACCCGCACGAAAGGCGUAACGAUCUGGGCACUGUCUCAACGAGAGACUCGGUGAAAUUAUAUUGUCCGUGAAGAUGCGGACUACCCGCGACAGGACGGAAAGACCCCAUGGAGCUUUACUGUAGCUUGAUAUUGAGUGUUUGUACAGCUUGUACAGGAUAGGUAGGAGCCAUAGAAACCGGAACGCUAGUUUCGGUGGAGGCGUUGGU